CUUUCAGGGGCUUCCAGAGCCCUCCAAGGCCACCCAUUGUGACCUGGGGCUGCCAGUCAGUGAUGGGGCCUACUAGGGUUAUUUGCAUGCCACGCUCCCAUUGGCCGGAUCCUCAGAAUUCUGAGACAUAUCACGCCCUCAUUGGUAGGAGCGUUCAAAACCCUGAAUACAUUUCUGGAGCUUGUGUGGGCGCCUCCUGAAUUGGGGCACCUUUGAGUUUUGGAUGGAAUGUUGUGGAAAUGUACUCUGACACCUGGUUUCCUGACCUGCUCAUUUCUGACAGAGCUACCACUGGCCCAUGUCAUGCCAGAUGUGGUCCGCAAUCCUGGGGGUCCUGACUCCAUGCCCCAGCCCAGUUUGGAAGAAGAGAACACAGUACUCAAGCUCUGGGGGAAGAAGAGGUUUGGCCUGGGCAGAGGAGAAUGGUCCCACCAAGCAGUUGGCUCCACCCACCCGCCACACCCAACGGGCUCCGCCCCCACCAGCCCUGCCCAGGGGUCUGCCCUGCGCCACCU